rnacentral:rRNA from 1 species
AGUGGAUGGGGAGCAACCUAGUUGUGCGUGUGUAAAGGUAGUGCCAAGAAAAGCGAUGAUCAUGUUGAAAAUCAAUUCCCGGUACCCGAAACCGACACAGGUGGGCAAGUAGAGAAUACUAAGGGGCGCGAGGUAACUCUCUCCAAGGAACUCGGCAAAAUGACCCCGUAACUUAGGGAGAAGGGGUGCCACCGAGAGGUGGUCGCAGUGAAGAGGCCCAGGCGACUGUUUAGCAAAAACAUAGGUCUCUGCAAACUCGAAAGAGGAGGUAUAGGGGCUGACGCCUGCCCAGUGCCGGUUAAAGAAGUUGGUCAGUUUUAGGAUGAAGCUAGCGACUGAAGCCCCGGUGAACGGCGGCCGUAACUAUAACGGUCCUAAGGUAGCGAAAUUCCUUGUCGGGUAAGUUCCGACCCGCACGAAAGGCGUAACGAUCUGGGCGCUGUCUCGGAGAGAGGCUCGGCGAAAUAGGAUUGUCUGUGAAGAUACGGACUACCUGCAUUUGGACAGUAAGACCCUAUGAAGCUUUACUAUAGCUUGGAAUUGUGUUCGGGCUUCCUGUGCGCAGGAUAGGUGGGAGGCGUAGAAGGUAUUCUUGUGGGGAUACUGGAGCCAACGGUGAGAUACCACUCUCAGGAGGCUAGAAUUCUAACUUAAUUAAGGACAGUUUCAGAUGGGUAGUUUGACUGGGGCGGUCGCCUCCAAAAAGGUAACGGAGGCGUACAAAGGUUCCCUCAGACUGGUUGGAAAUCAGUCGAAGAGUGCAAAGGCAGAAGGGAGCUUGACUGCGAGAAGUACAGUUCGAGCAGGGUGGAAACACGGUCUUAGUGAUCCGACGGUGCUGUGUGGAAGGGCCGUCGCUCAACGGAUAAAAGUUACUCUAGGAUAACAGGCUGAUCUCCCCCAAGAGUUCACAUCGACGGGGAGGUUUGGCACCUCGAUGUCGGCUCAUCGCAACCUGGGGCGGAAGUACGUCCCAAGGGUUGGGCUGUUCGCCCAUUAAAGCGGUACGUGAGCUGGGUUCAGAACGUCGUGAGACAGUUCGGUCCAUAUCCGAUGUAGGCGUGAGAAUAUUGAGAGGAGCCUUCCUUAGUACGAGAGGACCGGGAAGGACGCACCGCUGGUGUACCUGUUAUGAUGCCAAUUGUAAACGCAGGGUAGCCAAGUGCGGAGAGGAUAACCGCUGAAAGCAUCUAAGUGGGAAGCCCACCUCAAGAUGAGUAUUCUGGUGUAAGGUCACGGGAAGACGACCCGUAAAUAGGCACGAGGUGGAAGUGCAGAGAUGUAUGAAGCCGAAGUGUACUAAUAGACCGUCGGCCUGACC